UCGUAACAAGGUCUCCGUUGGUGAACCAGCGGAGGGAUCAUUACUGAGUUACCGCUCUAUAACCCUUUGUGAACAUACCUAACCGUUGCUUCGGCGGGCAGGGGAAGCCUCUCGCGGGCCUCCCCUCCCGGCGCCGGCCCCCACCACGGGGACGGGGCGCCCGCCGGAGGAAACCAAACUCUAUUUACACGACGUCUCUUCUGAGUGGCACAAGCAAAUAAUUAAAACUUUUAACAACGGAUCUCUUGGUUCUGGCAUCGAUGAAGAACGCAGCGAAAUGCGAUAAGUAAUGUGAAUUGCAGAAUUCAGUGAAUCAUCGAAUCUUUGAACGCACAUUGCGCUCGCCAGCAUUCUGGCGAGCAUGCCUGUUCGAGCGUCAUUUCAACCCUCAAGCACCGCUUGGUUUUGGGGCCCCACGGCACACGUGGGCCCUUAAAGGUAGUGGCGGACCCUCCCGGAGCCUCCUUUGCGUAGUAACUAACGUCUCGCACUGGGAUUCGGAGGGACUCUUGCCGUAAAACCCCCAAAUUUUUUACAGGUUGACCUCGGAUCAGGUAGGAAUACCCGCUGAACUUAAGCAUAUCAAUAAGCGGAGGA
rnacentral:rRNA from 1 species